GGAAUCUUCGGCAAUGGGGGCAACCCUGACCGAGCAACGCCGCGUGAGUGAAGAAGGUUUUCGGAUCGUAAAGCUCUGUUGUAAGAGAAGAACGUGUGUGAGAGUGGAAAGUUCACACAGUGACGGUAACUUACCAUAAAGUGACGGCGAACUACGUGCCAGCAGCCGCGGUAAUACGUAGGUCCCGAGCGUUGUCCGGAUUUAUUGGGCGUAAAGCGAGCGCAGGCGGUUUGAUAAGUCUGAUGUGAAAGCCUUUGGCUUAACCAAAGAAGUGCAUCGGAAACUGUCAGACUUGAGUGCAGAAGAGGACAGUGGAACUCCAUGUGUAGCGGUGGAAUGCGUAGAUAUAUGGAGGAACACCGGUGGCGAAAGCGGCUCUCUGGUCUGUAACUGACGCUGAGGCUCGAAAGCGUGGGGAGCAAACA
rnacentral:rRNA from 1 species